rnacentral:rRNA from 1 species
UGGUGCCUUCGGGAACUGUGAGACAGGUGCUGCAUGGCUGUCGUCAGCUCGUGUUGUGAAAUGUUGGGUUAAGUCCCGCAACGAGCGCAACCCUUAUCCUUUGUUGCCAGCGGUUAGGCCGGGAACUCAAAGGAGACUGCCAGUGAUAAACUGGAGGAAGGUGGGGAUGACGUCAAGUCAUCAUGGCCCUUACGACCAGGGCUACACACGUGCUACAAUGGCGCAUACAAAGAGAAGCGACCUCGCGAGAGCAAGCGGACCUCAUAAAGUGCGUCGUAGUCCGGAUUGGAGUCUGCAACUCGACUCCAUGAAGUCGGAAUCGCUAGUAAUCGUGGAUCAGAAUGCCACGGUGAAUACGUUCCCGGGCCUUGUACACACCGCCCGUCACACCAUGGGAGUGGGUUGCAAAAGAAGUAGGUAGCUUAACCUUCGGGAGGGCGCUUACCACUUUGUGAUUCAUGACUGGGGUGAAGUCGUAACAAGGUAACCGUAGGGGAACCUGCGGUUGGAUCACCUCCUUACCUUAAAGAAGC